UACCUCAAAAAACCACAACAGUCUGUUUCAUCCAUCAGGUGGUCCACCACCUGAUGAUUCCUAUACGGAUGAAACAGACUGUUGUGGUUUUU